rnacentral:misc_RNA from 1 species
GAUGAAGAACGUAGCGAAAUGCGAUAAGUAAUGUGAAUUGCAGAAUUCAGUGAAUCAUCGAAUCUUUGAACGCACAUUGCGCCCGCUAGUAUUCUGGCGGGCAUGCCUGUCCGAGCGUCAUUUCAACCCUCAAGCCCCCGGGCUUGGUGUUGGGGAUCGGCGAGCCUCCGCGCCCGCCGUCCCCUAAAUCUAGUGGCGGUCUCGCUGUAGCUUCCUCUGCGUAGUAGCACACCUCGCACUGGGAAACAGCGUGGCCACGCCGUUAAACCCCCAACUUCUGAACGUUUGACCUCGGAUCAGGUAGGAAUACCCGCUGAACUUAAGCAUAUCAAUAAGCGGAGGA